AUUGAACGCUGGCGGCAGGCCUAACACCUGCUAGUCGAGCGAGCGACGGACGGGUGAGUAAUGUCUGGGAAACUGCCUGAUGGAGGGGGAUAACUACUGGAAACGGUAGCUAAUACCGCCUACAACUCGAUCUGCCCAGAUGGGAUUAGCUAGUAGGUGGGGUAACGUCUCACCUAGGCGACUCUCCCUAGCUGGUCUGAGAGGACGGCCAGCCACACUGGAACGACGACACGGUCCAGACUCCUGCGGGAGGCGGCGGUGAGGAUUAUUGGACAAUGGGCGAAAGCCUGAUUUAGCCAUGCCGCGUGUGUGAAGAAGGCCUUCUGGUUGUAAAGCACUUUCAGCAGGGAGGCGUUACCCGCAGAAGAAGCACAGGCUAACUCCGAGCCAGGCGCCGCGGUAAUUC
rnacentral:rRNA from 1 species